rnacentral:rRNA from 1 species
UCUGACCUGCCCAUUGGAAAACUGAAAGGCCGCGGUAUUAUGACCGUGCAAAGGUAGCAUAAUCAUUAGUUUUUUAAUUGAAGGCGAGAAUGAAUGGUUGGACAAGAAAUAAUCUGUCUUAAAUUAAUAUAUUGAAUUUAACUUUUAAGUGAAAAGGCUUAAAUGAUCUAAGGGGACGAUGAGACCCUAUAAAACUUUAUAUUUUAAGGUGGAAAAUAAUUUUAUUUUAAAAUUACUAUUUUAAAUUAUUUUGUUGGGGCGACAAGGAUAUAAGAAAGGAUAACUGUCUUUUAUUUUUACAAUAAUAUUUGAAUUAUUGAUCCUAAAAGGGAUUAAAGAUUAAGUUACUUUAGGGAUAACAGCGUAAUUUUCUUUGAGAGUUCUUAUCGACAAGAAAGUUUGCGACCUCGAUGUUGAAUUAAAGGUUCUUUAUAGAGUAGAGACUAUAAGAGAAGGUCUGUUCGACCUUUAAAAUUUUACAUGAUUUGA